rnacentral:lncRNA from 1 species
UAGGAGUUAUUGUAUCAAUGUAUUUCAAUUUAGUAAAACUUAGACUCGGAUAAUUCAUGUGAUAGAUUUGAAAGAUUGAAAUACAAUGUGGAUGACUUAUUUAAGAUUGAUAGUUAAAUCUUAGAUCAUCCUUGAGUAUUAGGGUCAAAGGGAUGAAUUAUACGAUAAUCAUAUGUUAGUAGAUUCUUGAAUGUUGUUUCACCAUCAUUCGAUCUAUUCGGAC